UGGGCACGAACACGUAAUUGC
rnacentral:misc_RNA from 1 species